rnacentral:rRNA from 1 species
AGCGAACGCUGGCGGCAGGCUUAACACAUGCAAGUCGAGCGCCCCGCAAGGGGAGCGGCAGACGGGAUAGUAACACGUGGGAACGUACCUUUCAGUUCGGAACAACCAAGGGAAACUUUGGCUAAUACCGAAUACGCCCGUAAGGGGAAAGAUUUAUCGCUGAAAGAUCGGCCCGCGUCUGAUUAGCUAGUUGGUGAGGUAAUGGCUCACCAAGGCGACGAUCAGUAGCUGGUCUGAGAGGAUGAUCAGCAUCACUGGGACUGAGACACGGCCCAGACUCCUACGGGAGGCAGUAGUGGGGAAUAUUGGACAAUGGGCGCAAGCCUGAUCCAGCCAUGCCGCGUGGAUGAUGAAGGCCCUAGGGUUGUAAAGUCCUUUUAACGGGGAAGAUAAUGACGGUACCCGUAGAAUAAGCCCCGGCUAACUUCGUGCCAGCAGCCGCAGUAAUAC